CCCAGCUGUGGGUAACUACCUAGGUUUCCCUGUACCUAGGCAAGUGUUACACUGCUGUGAGAAAAGUAGACAGUAGCUGGUGGGCAUU
rnacentral:snoRNA from 1 species